rnacentral:rRNA from 1 species
UUAAAUCAGUUAUCGUUUAUUUGAUAGUACCUUACUACUUGGAUACCCGUGGUAAUUCUAGAGCUAAUACAUGCAAAAAACCCCAACUUCGGAAGGGGUGUAUUUAUUAGAUAAAAAACCAAUGCCCUUCGGGGCUCCUUGGUGAUUCAUAAUAACUUAACGGAUCGCAUGGCCUUGCGCCGGCGACGGUUCAUUCAAAUUUCUGCCCUAUCAACUUUCGAUGGUAAGGUAUUGGCUUACCAUGGUUUCAACGGGUAACGGAUUUUUAGGGAAAGAUCCCGGAGAGGGAGCCUGAGAAACGGCUACCACAUCCAAGGAAGGCAGCAGGCGCGCAAAUUACCCAAUCCCGACACGGGGAGGUAGUGACAAUAAAUACUGAUACAGGGCUCUUUUGGGUCUUGUAAUCGGAAUGAGUACAAUUUAAAUACCUUAACGAGGAACAAUUGGAGGGCAAGUCUGGUGGACCUCAGCUCCCAUUCUGCUGACGCCAGAGAUAGCCGGGCAUUCCCCAGCAAUGGGGGGUGUUAUGCCGGCUAGUCGAUGUAUCCACUACUGUGAUGGGGGGAUACCGGCAAGACAACCUGGAUCGGGGAAGGCUAAGGUGCAUUCGUGCGCUAUGCUAAUCCCGAGCAGAGCUUUCAUGGAGCGAUCCAUGAUCAUAGCCUGUGUAGAGCGCGGAAAGGUGUCGGUCGACUCACGAAGUCGGCUUAAGGGACGUGCCAUUCCCACCCGAAAGGGUGGCUGACAGCAGGAGCGCCCAUCACGCAAAUGCUGUUCAGAUUUUCGAGCGUGCCAAACGCCCGGAAAGGUUAUAUAAAUAAGGCCAGCAGCCGCGGUAAUUCCAGCUCCAAUAGCGUAUAUUAAAGUUGUUGCAGUUAAAAAGCUCGUAGUUGAACCUUGGGCCUGGCUGGCCGGUCCGCCUCACCGCGUGUACUGGUCCGGCCGGGCCUUUUCCUUCUGGAAAAACCGCAUGCCCUUCACUGGGGUGUGUUCGGGGAAACCAGGGACUUUUUACUUUUGAAAAAAUUAGAGUGUUCAAAGCAGGCCU